rnacentral:tRNA from 1 species
GGGGAUGUGGCUCAGUGGUACAGCACUUGCUCACAUGUGAGGCACUGGGUUCAAUUCCCAGUACUGCCA